GGCGCCUGGCGGGAGGGCCGCAGGGAGUGCGCAUGCGGCCGAGUGCGGGACUGGGGCUCCUGGCUGUGGGUGUGGUACCGAGGCUUCAGCGGGUGCCGCCCGCCUAGAGGGAGUGGAGCGGUGAGCACGUCAGGGGUGGGGGGCGCAGGUCAAGCUUUCACCAGUUUUUAAUUCUUUGAUGGGGUAAAUUUGAGCAAUUUUCUCGACUUGUCGACAUUCGUUAUUAACUGAGCAGGAAUCAGGAGAGGAACCCGGUCCUCUCCACACAGCCCAGCAGAGAGCCUACGACUAGAUUUGCAUCUUUACGUCCUGCGCGGAGGCUGCUACACACAUGCAGAAGUCAUGCUGGUGGCCUGGACAGUGAAGGGAGAGAAGUGGAUUUGGGAGACAUUUAGGAGAUGGCACCAAAAGCGAAGGAAGCUCCUGCUCAUCCUAAAGCCGAAGCCAAAGCGAAGGCUUUAAAGGCCAAGAAGGCAGUGUUGAAAGGUGUCCGCAGCCACACGCAAAAAAGAAGAUCCGCAUGUCACUCACCUUCAGGCGGCCCAAGACACUGCGACUCCGGAGGCAGCCCAGAUAUCCUCGGAAGAGCACCCCCAGGAGAAACAAGCUUGGCCACUAUGCUAUCAUCAAGUUUCCGCUGGCCACUGAGUCGGCCGUGAAGAAGAUAGAAGAAAACAACACGCUUGUGUUCACUGUGGAUGUUAAAGCCAACAAGCACCAGAUCAGACAGGCUGUGAAGAAGCUCUAUGACAGUGAUGUGGCCAAGGUCACCACCCUGAUUUGUCCUGAUAAGGAGAACAAGGCAUAUGUUCGACUUGCUCCUGAUUAUGAUGCUUUCGAUGUUGUAACAAAAUUGGGAUCACCUAAACUGAGUCCAGCUGGCUAACUCUAAAUAUAUGUGUAUCUUUUCAGCAUAAAAAAAUAAUGUUUUUCAUAAGAAUGACAACUUAAUUAGAAUCAAAUCUAUAAGCUUUAAGAUUUUACGUUUCUAGUAAGUAUAAUAUUAGCUUAUUUGACUAGAACUCAAGCAGAAUAGGAAUUUAUGCUUGUUUUAUAUUCAAUAAUGAUAAUUUUGAAGAUAUAGUUGUUUUAUUACACCAAAAAUACUAUAUUAAUCUUAUUUAACUAAGUUUUAUCCAAAUCAUGUUAACUUAAGAAACAUUUGAUCAGUUCCUAUAUUUCUAGGAGUUUGGUGAAUAUUUAUUUAUAAAUGCUUAUUUUUUUCCAAGCCAAGUUAGAAUAGAGCACUUUUAGAGGAUUUCAUAAAUGAAUUUUGCAAUGCUC
ensembl:lncRNA RPL23AP7 ribosomal protein L23a pseudogene 7